CAUACUGUUUUCCAGAAUGGCUGCACCAGUUUGCAUUCGCACCAACAAGGCAAGAGGGUUCCCCUUUCGCUGCACCCUUGCCAACGUGUGUUGUUUCCCACUGUGACAGAUGUGAGGUGACGUGUGAGACCGUCCGAGAACACCCAGCCUCAGCCCAGCCGGAUAAGACAGAAGUACCAUCACAAAUGUCCCAGAUAUCCCAGCCAUCACAAUCCACAAAAUCGAGAGCAAAAUAUUGCUGUUCUACACUUUUUUUUUUCUUUUAGAGAGAGAGAGAGAGCGUGCGCAUGCACGCAGGCGUGAGCAGGGAAGAGGGGCAGAGGGAGAGGGAGAGAGAAUCUCAAGCAGGCUCCAUGCUCCGCGUGGGGCCCAACGUGAGGCUCGAUCCCAUGACCUGGGAUCAUGACCUGAGCUGAAAUCAAGAGUCAGACACUCAACCAACUGAGCCACCCAGGGGCCCCUGUUGUCCUACACUCUUAAACUUCAAGAUGCUUUCUUAUACGGCAAAAGCUACACGAUACACAGUCCCACAGGCAGUCAGUUUGGUUUUCUAUCAUGGGAGGGCGUAUCCAGUUCUUUACUUGCGAGGAGCAAGAUCCAUUUAAGCUAGCUAAAAAUAAAACUCUCGGUGUGCAUACGUGUGUGGGCGUGUGCACACGUGCACACGCGGAGUGGGAAGUAAGAUGCAAUUGAUGACGCAAUUGACAAUGCCUCAGACACAAGACCUGCAACCCAACCAGGCCUCAAGUCCAGGGGUGCUGAGAGCCUGUGGGAACUGAGCCCACUCUAAUCACCCUUCCGUUAUUUUCUCUUCCUGGGACUCUUCUCUGAAGCUCUUUGAACAUGUGCUCCGUUUUCCUACUUCGCUCUCAAGACUGGCUUUCUCUGUCACUUUGUCAAGUUAUAUGGGGUUCCAAAUGGCACCUCAGUUUCCAAGUCUUCCUGACUCCGAUCCUUACCGAUUACAGUUUGUUUCCACGUGCAAUCCCUCAAGUGGUCACCCAGAUCUGAUCAGCGGUGGUGACAAGUGACAGGGGAGGCAAGAAGACUUUGCGCGUCUGCUGUUUGGCUGAAGGUCUACUGAUUGAGGCCGGGCUCAGCUGGAUGUCACUGCUGCAGACUGGGGCACUUAGGGUGGCCCUUUUUCUCACUUCAGGUUUUGUGUUGGAUAGGGUGGUUCGGCUCCGUGCGUGUCCUCCUUUUUCUCGGUCCGUGUGGCUCAUUCUUAGGCAUGUUCAUCUUGUGGUGAUGUUAUACGUGCAAGAGAACAAAUGGAAACAUGCAAGGCCCAUUAAGGCCCAGGCUCAAAAUGGUCACAGUGGCGCUUCCAUCCAGAUAUCAUUUCACCGAAACAAGUUACACGGCCGAGCCCAAAGUCAAGUGGCAGGGAAAUCCACUCCACCCGUGAUGAGACGAUGACAAGUGUCUGCUUGCCGACAGGGGUGGAAACGGGGACCAGCAAUGAAACCCAGUGAAGAGCUGGAAGAGAGGCGUCCAAGGGCGAGAGGAGCUAACUUAUCUCUAAGAAUGGCCUCUAAGACUGUCAGCAGUCAAAAUGGCAGUUUAAAGGGAGAUGGUGGGUAUUGGCUUGCUCUGGAUCAAAACUCUUAUUCCAGAAGACCCAAUCUGGUGCCACAGGUGCAAUCUCUAGGCUAUGACAUGGCCGUAUAGUGGCGAGGGCCAGCCAGGUUGUUCAGGGAGGAGCUGUACUCCCUGGAAUGAACAAGCUGCUGUGCACAUCAAAGAAAGCAAUAGAGAUACACAGCCAUAUGUCUGGCCAAUGUCGAAGGGGUCAGAGGCAAGGUUUGUUAGCAUGACAGUAAGCACUGGCCUGAGGCUAAUUGGACAAGACUACUUUAGGCCCCAGAAGGUCUGCUUUGGUCAGGCUUGGCAGGGGUCAGAGAUGCAAGGUUACUUAAGGUCCUCAGGGCAGGGCAAGAAAAAAAAAAACAAAACCAUGGCCC